UCCUUGACUUCCUGUACAUAGGUGCUUGUGUGUCUGUCUGGGGUCACUCCAUGAGGGCACUGUAGCUUUUGUCUGCACCUGACCAACUGGGUG
rfam:Neotoma lepida isolate 417 scaffold_149, whole genome shotgun sequence.